CAGUCGCCGCGGGAAUACGAAGGGGGCUAGCGUUGUUCGGAUUUACUGGGCGUAAAGCGCACGUAGGCGGACUUUUAAGUCAGGGGUGAAAUCCCGGGGCUCAACCCCGGAACUGCCUUUGAUACUGGAAGUCUUGAGUAUGGUAGAGGUGAGUGGAAUUCCGAGUGUAGAGGUGAAAUUCGUAGAUAUUCGGAGGAACACCAGUGGCGAAGGCGGCUCACUGGACCAUUACUGACGCUGAGGUGCGAAAGCGUGGGGAGCAAACAGGAUUAGAUACCCCCGUAGUCCCUGUCUCUUAUAA
rnacentral:rRNA from 1 species